GUUAUUGGCGCUUGCUCGGCAUUUGUGGACCGAACAGGCAAGUUCAACCGAGCACGCUGCCCCCGCGCUCCACCUCUGAGUUCCCUGGGCCACUGCGACAUGGAGAAACCCCGUUCUUUUCAUCCUCUGCUACGGAGAAGGGACGAGGACACGGGUCCUGCAGUGUUGGUGUGGCGAGGCCCGGAAGAAGAGAGAAUGGGCGGCGGGGACUGGCCACGGCGCUGCUAGUUAUGAAAAACCUCCUCCUGGGCUUAUCAAGAUGGAGUUUCGCUCUUGUUGCCCAGGCUGGAGUACAAUGGCAUGAUCUUGGCUCACCGCGACCUCCGCCUCCCAGGUUCAAGCGAUUCUCCUGCCUCAGUCUUCCCAAGUAGCUGGGAUUACAGGCAUGCGCCACUAUGCCUGGCUAAUUUUGUAUUUUUAGUAGAGGCGGGGUUUCUUCAUGUUGGUCAGUCUGGUCUCGAACUUCCAGCCUCAGGUGAUCCGCCCGCCUCGGCCUCCCAAAGUGCUGGGAUUACAGGUGUAAGCCACCGCGAUGGCCUGCUGUGUUUUAAUUUUCUGACAUCCCCUUUGACUCAUGGAUUGGUUACGCAUGUGUUAUUCAGUUUCUACAUACUGGAUUCUUCAAAUUUCCUUAUAUUGUUGCUUUGUAAUUUGAGUCCAUCCUAGUUAGAGAAUAUACUUUGUAUGGUUUAAAUCCUUUUAAUUAUAUUAAUUCUUGUUUUAUGGCCUAAUAUAGGGUCUCUGGAUAAUGUUCCAUAUUGACUUCAAAAAGUGUUUAUUGUUGGGUGGUAGAGUGUUUUAUAAGUAACUGUUAGGUUCAAUUGAUUUAUAUUGUUGUUUAAGUCUUGUAAUUCAUUGCUGAUCUUCUCUCUAGUUGUUUUAUCCAUUAUUGAAUGAGGAGUAUUGAAAUCUCUAUUAUUGUUACACCGUUCUAUUUUCCCCUUCAAUUCUAUCAGUUUGUGUCUCAACUAUCUGGCACUCUUUUGCUAGGUUACAUACAUAUUUAUAAAUGUUGUAUCUUCUUGAUGGAUUGACCUUUUUAUCAAUACAAAAUAUCCUUCUUUGUCUCUGGUAACAGUUUUUGUCUUAGGGUGUAUUUUGUCUGAAAUUAUCGGAGCAGCUUUAGUUCCCUUUGGGUUACUGUUUGCAUCAUAUAUUCCUUUCCAUCCUUUUACUGCCAACCUAAUUGGGUCUUUAAAUCUACAGUGUGUCACUUAUAUCUAGUGCUUGGAUAGCAUUUUUCCUUUUUUUUUUUUUUUUUUUUUUUUUGAGACAGGGCCUCUCUGCUGCCCAGGGUGGAGUGCAGUGGCACAAUCACAGCACACUGCAGCCUAGACCUCCCAGGCUCAAGCAAUCCUCCCACCUCAGCCUUCUGAGUAGCUGGAACCACAGGUGCUUGCCACCAUGCCUGGCUAAUUUUUAAAAAUUUUUUGUACAGACGGGAUCUCACCUUGUUGCCUAGGCUAUUCUCAAACUCCUGGGCUCAAGCAGUCCUCCUGCCUUGGCCUCCCAAAGUGUUAGGAUUACAGGCAUGAGCCACUGCACCUGGCGGAUAACAUUUUUAUCCAUUCUAUAAAUCUCUGCCUUUUGAUUGAAGUGUUUAAUCCAUUUGCAUGUAAUAUAAUUACUGUUAAGGUAAUUACAAACCUAUGCACAUGGUUUUGAUUUUACCAAUUUUAGUAUUAAUUAGAAAAGUGGUUCUCCCACUUUGAUAUUUCUACAAAUAACCAGUAAAUCUUUUAAAAUUCAGGUUAUAUGUCCAUAUCAGGCCCAACCCAGAAAUACUGAAUAUCCAGUAUUUGAAUAUCCAAAAUACUGAAUACUAGAUAUUCAAUAUUUCUGGGUUGGGUCCUAUACCUUGCUUUUCUAACAACCUUGCUCAUAUUGUUGAAUUUGCUGGUCCAUGGACCACACUUUGAAUAUCUGGGAUCACCUUUCCAUAAUAAGAGGAUUUUGAGCGGAAAUGGUAUCUUCUGGAUAUCUAUACAUCAAUGCUUGUUCCAUGGCAUUUCACAUCCCUUCAGCUUUGCCAUAAAGGCACAUAUUAGUUUGAAAGAGUGUAGUCCUUCUCCCCCAAACUUUAAAUGGUGAGGGAGAUAAGGAUAGGGAUAGCUCACAGGCAAUCAAUAGAAAUCCACAAACUUAGGCCAGGCACAGUGGCUCACACCUGUAAUCCCAACACUUUGGAAGGCUGAGGUGGGCUGAUCACGAGGUCAGGAGUUCAAAACCAGCCUGGCCAACAUGACGAAACCGUCUCUACCAAAAAUAUAAAAAAUUAGCUGGGUUUGGUGGCAUGCAUCUGUAAUCCCAGCCACUUGGGAGGCUGAGGCAGAAGAAUUGCUUGAACCCAGGAGGCGGAGGUUGCAGUGAGCCGAGAUCGCGCCACUACACUCCAGCCUGGGCAACAGAGCGAGACUCGUCUCAAAAAAAAAAAAAAAACCCACAAACUUAAUUUUUUUCAGUGGUUUCCUGCAUUCAAUCCUCAAAUAAAAAUAAAAAGAGAAAAACUUUCUUGCCCUGUCACUACGUAUUUUCUGUAGUUGCCAGCAUAGAGCAAACUUGGCUGAACUUACCUAAAUCCCUCUUCAUACUUCCCGACCUAGUUGCUUAGAAUUGCUUAAUACUCAAACACAGGGUCUCAUUCACCAUUCCCAUACAGUUUCCUGAUUUACACCACAUCCAGAUGGUGCUGAGAGGAUAUGAACAGGCGAGAGAAGUAACAAGGAUCUCAUCCAUUCUUGCUUCACUCACCACUUCCUUUUUCUCAGAGGUCAAUGCCUGAUGCCAGGUCCACUCACUGAAAUUCCAUAAAGACUGGAAUUUGUUGCCUUGGAGCAUGUAUAUACAUUCUCUUGUUAUUCUCCUCCCAGUUCCUCAUCAGGACCUUCUGUUGCUUCUAAUAGUUAACCUCUUUAAAUAGCACAGUUUCCCUCUUCUGAAAGUAAAGUUGCAGUAGGGUUCUGAUGGCAUUAAUAUUUUAAAAGAACUUGUGAUUUUGUUUACUUAAAAGUGAGGGAUGUGAACAGAUGUCGACUCAACCUGAGAAAGAAGGUAUUUGUUCUAGUGACUAAAUUUAUAAAUGAGAUUCAGAGCCACUUGAUUAAUAGAAGAUAUUUACUUUGAAAAAUACAGCGAGACACACUAAAAAAAUUGACCUUUUGCAGUACUUUUCAUUGGAUUGCUUCAUAAUUUCUUGGUGUUGGAAAAUUAAUUCCUAAAGCACAAGAUUAAAGGAUGCUUGGGUAAGCAAUUAGUUUACCUGUCUUUUCUGGGACCUUACACGGUUCAUCCAUGAUUGCAUUUUCUUUUAGAAUUGGAGUUUAAUGAAUAAAAACUUUAAUAUAAUCU
rnacentral:lncRNA from 1 species